rnacentral:rRNA from 1 species
UCAGUUCAGAUUGUAGGCUGCAACUCGCCUACAUGAAGUCGGAAUUGCUAGUAAUCGCGGAUCAGCAUGCCGCGGUGAAUACGUUCCCGGGCCUUGUACACACCGCCCGUCACACCAUGAGAGCCGGUAACACCCGAAGUCAGUAGCCUAACCGCAAGGGGGGCGCUGCCGAAGGUGGGAUUGGUAAUUGGGGUGAAGUCGUAACAAGGUACC